UGAUAUUAUCGAUAUAGCAUGAAAGUAUC
rnacentral:piRNA from 1 species